ACCUCGGUGGUGUAGUGGUCAAGACGCUUGCCUGGUAAACAGGAGGGCGUGGGUUCGAUCCCAGUCGAGGUA
rnacentral:tRNA from 1 species